rnacentral:rRNA from 1 species
CUGGCUCACCGAUGAACGCUGGCGGCGUGCCUAAUACAUGCAAGUCGAACGAGGGUAGCAAUACCCUAGUGGCGAACGGGUGAGUAACACGUAGAUAACCUACCGUAAAGACGAGGAUAACACCGGGAAACUGGUGCUAAGACUGGAUAGGACAUUUGGGGGCAUCCCUAGAUGUUUAAAGGACCUGCAAAGGUACACUUUAUGAGGGGUCUGCGGCGCAUUAGCUAGAUGGCGGGGUAACGGCCCACCAUGGCAAUGAUGCGUAGCCGGACUGAGAGGUCAAACGGCCACAUUGGGACUGAGAACGGCCCAAACUCCUACGGGAGGCAGCAGUAGGGAAUUUUCGGCAAUGGGGGAAACCCUGACCGAGCAACGCCGCGUGAAUGACGAAGUUUUUCGGAAUGUAAAGUUCUUUUAUUAGGGAAGAAUGGCCUAUGGAAAAAUAGGAAUGACGGUACCUAAUGAAUAAGCCCCGGCUAACUAUGUGCCAGCAGCCGCGGUAAUACAUAGGGGGCGAGCGUUAUCCGGAUUUACUGGGCGUAAAGGGUGCGUAGGUUGUUAUUUAAGUUCUUGGUGUAAGUGCAGUGCUCAACGCUGUGAUGCUAAGGAAACUGAAUAGCUAG